rnacentral:rRNA from 1 species
GAUGAACGCUGACGGCGUGCCUAAUACAUGCAAGUCGAGCGAACAGACGAGGAGCUUGCUUCUCUGACGUUAGCGGCGGACGGGUGAGUAACACGUGGAUAACCUACCUAUAAGACUGGGAUAACUUCGGGAAACCGGAGCUAAUACCGGAUAACAGCAUUAACUGCAUGGUUGAUGUUUAAAAGUUGGUUAUGCUAACACUAUGAGAUGGCUUUGCGGUGCAUUAGCUAGUUGGUGGGGUAAAGGCCUACCAAGGCGACGAUGCAUAGCCGACCUGAGAGGGCGAUCGGCCACACUGGGACUGAGACAUGGCCCAGACUCCUACGGGAGGCAGCAGUAGGGAAUCUUCCGCAAUGGGCGAAAGCCUGACGGAGCAACGCCGCGUGAGUGAUGAAGGUCUUCGGAUCGUAAAACUCUGUUAUUAGGGAAGAACAAAUGUGUAAGUAACUAUGCACGUCUUGACGGUACCUAAUCAGAAAGCCACGGCUAACUACGUGCCAGCAGCCGCGGUAAUACGUGGGUGGCAAGCGUUAUCCGGAAUUAUUGGGCGUAAAGCGCGCGUAGGCGGUUUUUUAAGUCUGAUGUGAAAGCCCACGGCUCACCCGUGGAGGGUCAUUGGAAACUGGAAAACUUGAGUGCAGAAGAGGAAAGUGGAAUUCCAUGUGUAGCGGUGAAAUGCGCAGAGAUAUGGAGGAACACCAGUGGCGAAGGCGACUUUCUGGUCUGUAACUGACGCUGAUGUGCGAAAGCGUGGGGAUCAAACAGGAUUAGAUACCCUGGUAGUCCACGCCGUAAACGAUGAGUGCUAAGUGUUAGGGGGUUUCCGCCCCUUAGUGCUGCAGCUAACGCAUUAAGCACUCCGCCUGGGGAGUACGACCGCAAGGUUGAAACUCAAAGGAAUUGACGGGGACCCGCACAAGCGGUGGAGCAUGUGGUUUAAUUCGAAGCAACGCGAAGAACCUUACCAAAUCUUGACAUCCUCUGACCCCUCUAGAGAUAGAGUUUUCCCCUUCGGGGGACAGAGUGACAGGUGGUGCAUGGUUGUCGUCAGCUCGUGUCGUGAGAUGUUGGGUUAAGUCCCGCAACGAGCGCAACCCUUAAGCUUAGUUGCCAUCAUUAAGUUGGGCACUCUAAGUUGACUGCCGGUGACAAACCGGAGGAAGGUGGGGAUGAUGUCAAAUCAUCAUGCCCCUUAUGAUUUGGGCUACACACGUGCUACAAUGGACAAUACAAAGGGCAGCGAAACCGCGAGGUCAAGCAAAUCCCAUAAAGUUGUUCUCAGUUCGGAUUGUAGUCUGCAACUCGACUAUAUGAAGCUGGAAUCGCUAGUAAUCGUAGAUCAGCAUGCUACGGUGAAUACGUUCCCGGGUCU